CCGGAAGGUGCGGCUGGAUCACCUCCUUUCUAAGGAGCCGAAUGGUUUUUGUGGCUGGUUUGUUCCUGGAUGUUGUUUCUGGGGGCUGGUCAUGGUUUUUGGUUUCUGGGUGGAACAUUGGCUUUUACCAUGUUUUGUGGUGGCGCGUUGUUGGGUUUUGAGGGGUCGGUGGCCGUUUGGUGGCUUCGGUUUCUCUGUGGAGCCCCGGGCUCUUCCGGUUUUUGCCGGGGGGUUUUGGGGUGUGUGUUUUGAGAACUUUAUAGUGGACGCGAGCAUCUUUGUAGUUUUUGUUGUUGGUUUUUUGGCAAGCUACUU
rnacentral:misc_RNA from 1 species